AACGAACGCUGGCGGCGCGCCUAACACAUGCAAGUCGAACGGGCAGUUAUCUUCGGGUGACUGUCAGUGGCGGACGGGUGAGUAACGCGUGGGAACCUGCCCAAGGGUUCGGGAUAACCGUGGGAAACCAUGGCUAAGACCGGAUACGGCCGAGAGGCGAAAGAUUUAUCGCCCUUGGAGGGGCCCGCGUCGGAUUAGCUAGACGGUGGGGUAACGGACUACCGUGGCUACGAUCCGUAACUGGUCUGAGAGGAUGGCGAGUCACACUGGGACGGCGACACGGCCCAGAGUCCUACGGGAGGCAGCAGUGGGGAAUCUUGGACAAUGGGGGCAACCCUGAUCCAGCGACGCCGCGUGGGUGACGAAGGCCUUCGGGUUGUAAAGCCCUUUUGCCGGGGACGAUGAUGACGGUACCCGGAGAAUAAGCACCGGCUAACUCCGUGCCAGCCGCCGCAGUAAGAC
rnacentral:rRNA from 1 species